rnacentral:rRNA from 1 species
AGCUUUAGGAAUAGAUCUAAGGUUAUACCUGCCCAAUGUGCAAUUCUAUUAAUGGCCGCGGUACCUUGACCGUGCUAAGGUAGCGCAAUCAGUUGGCUCUUAAUUGGGGUCAGGAAUGAAUGGAGUUACGGAGUUUUACUGUCUCUUAGUUAAUUAUUCUAAAUUACUAUCUAGGUGAAAAAGCCUAAUAAUAGAAAGGGGACGAGAAGACCCUUAGAGUUUGACCUAUAUAAAUUUUAGAAAUUGUGUUUAUAAUGGUUUAGUUGGGGCAACGUAGGAGCAAUAAGGAAGAAGUAAAAUCUCCUAAAUUUUAUUAACCGAUAUUUUUAAAUUUGAAUAAACUACCUUAGGGAUAACAGCAUAAUUUAAUAAAUAAGUUUGUGACCUCGAUGUUGGACUAGGAAACUUAAAGGCUAGCCGUCUUUAAGGAAAGUUCUGUUCGAACUAUUAUUCCU